rnacentral:rRNA from 1 species
AAAGCCAGGGGAUCGCAAGACCUUGCGCUACUGGAGCGGCCUAGGUCUGAUUAGCUAGUUGGUGAGGUAAAGGCUCACCAAGGCGACGAUCAGUAGCUGGUCUGAGAGGAUGAUCAGCCACACUGGAACUGAGACACGGUCCAGACUCCUACGGGAGGCAGCAGUGGGAAUUUUGGACAAUGGGGGAAACCCUGAUCCAGCCAUUCCGCGUGAGUGAAGAAGGCCUUCGGGUUGUAAAGCUCUUUCAGGAGGGAAGAAACGGUUGCAGCUAAUACCUGCGACUAAUGACGGUACCUUCAGAAGAAGCACCGGCUAACUACGUGCCAGCAGCCGCGGUAAUACGUAGGGUGCGAGCGUUAAUCGGAAUUACUGGGCGUAAGCGUACGCAGGCGUU